CAAAAGAUAAAACAUAUCAUAAAAUUCUCCCCCUUUUCUAUUUCUCUCUGGCAUUCUCUCACUCUGCCUCCCCUCUCUCGAUGAUCUCUCUAACUCUCUCUCCCCGCUGCCCUACCUCCCACCAUAUCCCUCUUUCAUCUCUCCAUCUCUAACCAUCUCCCUCUUUAAUCUCUCUCUAUCUCACUAUCUCACCGUACGUCGAUCGAAUCGAAGGAGUAAAAGCAGCCGCUUUUAAAGACUCCAUUUUAAUUGAAGACCCAUCUUGGAGAAAUACACCUCCGAAGUAAGAAAGGCAGCUUCAAUUCGCAGCUCGAUUGGUUCGAUUGAAUUUCUGGUUUUCAAUUUGUUCAAUUGGGGUUUGGGGUUUCCGGUCACAGCUUCAUUUCUCGGUCUCCAUCUUGAAGAUAUGCAGAUCUUCUUGUUUAAGUUUCAGAAAGCAAAGAGAGUUAUAUACAGAACUAUGCCCUUCUUGUUGGACUAUAGACUUCAAGAACUGUGCCCUUCUAUGUUAAAUUUUAUUGCUAAGGUGGGAUAGGAAGCAAACCAGGAGUUUCUAGUUUGUUAUCGGAGGCACAACUCUAUGUUUAGCUUGAUCUCUCCGUUCUAAGUUGCAACAUGCUGUGCGACAAAGGAGGCUGCAAAGACACACAAUGCAACUUAUUUUGAGGAUGAAAUUAAUGAAGUGUGACUUGAGACUUUCAGCUACAUUGAAACUUCAUGUAAAAGCGAUAUUAGUUGGUUUUGAUUUUAGUAGAAACUACAUUGAAGCAAUAUAUCUUUUGGUAAUUUAUAACUUGGAAAUUUAUUAUAUUAUUAUUCUAGUAUUGUGCACAUCAGGAUGUGCUUUAGACAUCAAUGACAAAAACAUUGCUUAAGAAAAAUUAGGCUCCAAUAACUGAUGUUAUAUAUCUUAAUAACAUUGGUUGGUUUAUUCAGUAA